UAACAUUUCAUUCAUUUUGUCCUGGAUGCACACGUGAGGUGUUCUGGAUCAGAGACAGAUUUCCUGUUCAUUACCUUAAGUUUCUUCCUCUUUCAAGCAGUUGUGGGGUAUGGAUUUGCCAACAGAGAAGCCAUCUGGCAGUGACAGGUCCAAGCUGGCCUUGGACUUGAGCUCCUCCUGCCUCAGCCUCCGAGCUGUUACAGGAGUUUAGAGAGAAGACAUCUAUGCGGUUACCUUGGAGGCCAAAGGACACAGAGGUUCUCACAGGCUGAGGAGAGGGAGGAAGAGCGUUCCAGGCCGACAGGAUUGUGAGGAGGCCGGGGCCAGUGGCUGAGGGCGGCCCAGGAAGGAGGAUGGCUCAGUGGAGAGCCUGGACAGAAUGGCUUUUCGGAAAGACGAGCCCGGCAGCCACAUGGGACAAGGACACAUCCAGACUGGAGGCUGGAGUCCCAGUACAGAGCGAGGUCUCACUAAAGUUGCUAAGUUGUUCAGGCUGGGCUCAAACUUUCCAUCCUCCUGCCUCAACCUCCCAGACUGGGAUCAUGGACAUCACCAUCACACCCGGCUCUGAGGUGGUGACUCCAAAGCCAAGACUGGAAUGAAGGGAAGGAGCUGCCAUCUAAGGGACAACCCUGGAUCUCCCAGUAGGGCAGGACCCGCCCCACAGAGGCUGCUCCCAGAGCCCUGCUCCAGCUCCCAUGGCAACACACAGCUCGCUGACUCUCCACUCCUGAGCUCAUCUUGUCUGUAGGGAAAAUUCUUUGUCACAGGGCACCUGUCCCCUGGCCCUCAGCCUGAGGUUCCUAGUGGGUCCUGAGUGGCCCCUGGGACCUGGGCCUGCAGGGUCUCCCUGGGUGCUUCUGGGCCAGCUCGGUGCCUGGGGGCUGAGAGCGAGGGGGGAUCUGGGUUUGCUCGGUGGUUAGGGCAGAGGGAAGGGCACUGGCCGAAGACUGAGAGGGUGAUAAGAGAACAGCUGCUUCAUCCCAUCCGUGUGGCCAGCUUGACUUUCUGAACUUUCCUCCACCCUCUUAGAAUUUCCUCGAAAGAACUAAGGCUGUGUCUACUUUUUAUUUUUGUGGGUAAUGUGUUUUGGAAUGAAACCAACAGUUUCGCUUUCAGUUAGUGACACAGUGGCACUGCCAUUGUGACCGUGGCGUUACCUUGUGGCACAGGACGAGGACUGUGUGAGGGAAAGUUUCCAAGGCCAAUGUAGACAUCAUCGUAGUGGUGGGGUGAGGGCAGCUCUGCAGGAGUGGGUUAGGGCCCUGCUGGGCCUUUGUGAAAACUUAGCAGAAACAACUAUCAUUAGCCUUUUUUUUUUCUGUUUUUCUUUUUUUGGCUUUUUGAGACAAGGUCUUGCUAUGUAGCUCAGGUUAGCCUCAAACUCAUGGUGAUCCUCCUACCUCAGCCUCCCGAGUGCCAGGAUUGCAGGCAUACCCCACACCUGGCAAGUGUUUCUUUUUUUGGUACCAGGGAUCGAACUCUGGUCCUUGCGCUUGCGCAGCAGGCAGGGAAACCACUGAGCUAAAUCCCUGGCCCCUGGCAAGUGUUUCUUUUGAUUCUUGUUGCUUUGGGGAAACAGGGAUGGGAUGGAACCUGUGGACUUACACGUGUGCUAGGCAAGCGCCGCCCCUGAGCUGCAGCUGCUGCCCUCUCCCUUCUUCCCUGAUCCACGGCCAUGCGAGCCUCAGCAACUCCAGCAAAGUACUCUGAGGCAGGAAGGCGAGCAACUAAGCCUUCUCUUAAAUUUGGAAACGCAACCAGGAAAAAAACGUUCAAGCAGAGAAUAUAGAUUAGUCAAGGCUCUAUUUUUGGCAUGUGGAAGACAGUUGUUAGUGUGGACUGUUCUGGAAGGGUUUGGUUGGCUGGGGCUGGGCUGAGUACUAUCUUUCAUGCCCCAAAGACUGUUAGGUCUGAGCCCGGCUGUAGCUUUAAGAAAUCUAACUCCAACUUCUCCAGAAUAGAAAUCGCUCAAGUAUUUUUUUUGAAAUAAGGAAGUAGAUGUGGUCCUAUAUCGCCCGGCUGGUUCUAUAUAUUGAGACAAGAGUGUGAAGUAUUGUUUUACCUUCUCUUCUCAUAAAGCUAAAGAAUAAGCCAUAGAGUAUAUUGCUAUGCAUUUGUCUUGAUGUACACGGAAGCAAAUUUGAGAAUUCACCUAUGUGUUUUCAUUUAAAUUUGGUGGAGGGGGGUGGUGCGAGGUUUAGAUGGAUGUGAAUGGCACACACUUGUCUUCCCAGCACUUGGGAGGCCGAGGCAGGGGGAUCCUGCAAGUUCUAGGCCAGCCUGGGCUGCAUAGUGAGUUCAAG